GAUGAACGCUAGCGGCAGGCCUAAUACAUGCAAGCCGAACGGCAAGUUUGAUAGCCACUUUUGAACUAGAGUCGCGCAAGGGUGCGUAACACGUAUGAAACCUGCCCGCGACAGGAGGAUAGCUCCCCGAAAGGGGAAUCAAAUCCCCCUAACACCAUGCGCAGACAUCUGCUUAUGGUUAAACCGCAAGGGGUCGCGGAUGGGCAUGCGGUUGAUUAGCUAGUUGGCGGGGUAACAGCCCACCAAGGCGGUGAUCAAUAGGGGUCCUGAGAGGAAGGUCCCCGACACUGGAACUGAGAUAAGGCCCAUACUGCAACGAGAGGCAGCGGUAGGUAAGAUAGGACAAUGGUUGCAAGGCGGCACCAGCCAUGACGCGUGCAAGAAGAAGGCCUUCUGAGUCGUAGUCUGCUUUUUCCUAUGGAUAAAAUACCCGGUCGCGGUGAAUUGAAGGUAACAGGGGAAUAAGCCACGGCUAACUACGUG
rnacentral:rRNA from 1 species